UCUUCUCCCUUAUCUUUUCUUUUGUUAAACUAGAAAGUUCAGCCCCUCUUUCUCUACUCCUCUUUCCUUGUUCUUGUUCCUUCUCUCUUUGCUUUUACAUGGCAACACCUCUCCCUCACUCUCUCACUGAAAAUCAUAGACAUCUCUCUAAAGAAUAAAUUAAACGAAUAGCUCUAAGGUUUCAGCUAGUUUGUGGGUGACGAGAACGAGAACAUGGACACGGACACUUGAGUUGCUUUUGUACAACUCUCUCACGUCUACUAUUUUCAAUGCACAGGUUCUUCCUGGAAGCAGUAAGAGUAUUAAAGGUGGCAAGGAUUCUGUGAUUCUCAUUUGUUAAAACGUAAAGUUUUUUUUUUUUGUUGUUUUAUAGUAGUUUAGCUCUUUUGUUGUAUAGGAGGAAUCAAGAUGUACUUGAUCCUUGAGCACAGAUGUAAUUCAGUACCUUAGCUUGUUUUGAACUCUAGUUGUAUGUCUUUGGGGUUAGGUUUGUAAUAAGAGUUUUGCUAAACGUUUAGUUAUGUAAUAUUUACACGGAUACCUUAAGUUUCAACCAGGUGGCAAUUUUCCAAGUUCAAAGGAAAUGAAAUUUUAGGGUUUUCAUCA